GCGCCUCUCCCGCCACACCUGCCUGCAAGCUGAGGGAGCCGGCUCCGGCCUUGGCCAGGCUAGAAAGGGGCUCCCACAGUGCAGGGGCGGGCUGAAGGGCUCCUCAAGUGCCGCCAAAGUGGGAGUCCAGGCAGAGGAGGUGCCGAGAGCGAGCGAGGGCUGCGAGGACUGCCAGCAGCUGUCACCUCUCGUUACCAUCACUCCUAGUGACCAUUUUGGAUAAUCCACCUUGCCUCAUCAAACCAGAAAACAAUUCAAACCUGUCCUCCUUCUAACUGGAAGCCACAUUUUAAGAACUUAUUGUGAAGAACUGGAAAGCCUCCAAUAGAACAGAAGCUAAAAGCAGAAAUUAUAAAAGCUGUUACACCUACUCAGCUCUAUUACAUGUUGGAAAAACUGAACCAGAGAAACAAUUACAUACACUCUGUCUUCUGGAAAAGCUGAAUUGGGUUUUAGUCUGAAUCAAUAGGUGAGUUCUCAGUCUUCCCACCUUUUUUCUUUUUUUCUUUUUUAUCAUGUCCUACGACCUAAUGCCAGAAAGAAAAAAUAAUUUUAGCCUGAUUAUGAAAGCUUGUAUAAUAAGUAAACUCUCAGUAACUGGAAGUGUAUGAAUCGGGUAUGGAUGAUGAUGACUAGCAACUUCGUUUAGAGGGAAUUCAAACAUCAGGAGGCUGAUUGGGUUUUGUGAUCUGUAGUGUGAUAACCAAUGCUGAGUUUCUUUUAUUCUUUAAAAUCAUAAAGUAAAUUUUCCUUAUGUCUUACCAUGUUCCAGUUAUCAAUAAAGAGUAACAAAUGAUUUUGGUCAGAACCAAAACUUAUUGAUGUAAAACAAUAAUUUUAUUAUACUUGUGAAUUCUGUGGAUGAGGUAAUUUAAACAUGGCAUAGGGGACAUGGCUUUUAUCUUCUCCACAAUUUCUGCUCCACAAUUUCAGCUGUCUCGAUAAAAUAAAAACAAAAGAUUAAUAAUAUUCUGUGAUCACAAUGCAAGGAAAUAGAAACUAAAUCAAAAUAAAUAAUCAAAUCCCCAUCCAAAAUGUCUGCAAUUUUAACUCUCUGUGAAAGAACACUUAGACAAAAAGAGAAAAGAGCCCUGAAGUUACAGAAUUUUUAGAACAUACUUUUAAUGAAAAUACUAUAUAUCAAAAUAUAUAAUUAAAGCAAUUAUUUAAAUACAAUACAUAGCCUUACAUAAUUAUUUUAAUAAAAAUGAUAAGAUAAUAUUUUCUAACACAAAAGUUUGAAAAGGAACUUUAAAUUAAACAAAAGAAAGGACAAAGAGCAAAAUUAUACAGAUAGAAGCCGAAAUUAAUCAGGUAGAAAUUAGUAAAACAGCAAAAAUAGUGAUGGUUCAUAAAAAUAUCCAGCAAAGUAAACAACUAGCUAACUUAAUUUGAAAAAAAAAAAAAAAAGCAAGCACAAAUAUACAAAAUAAGAGGUAAUGAGUGGGAAAUAAUCAUUGAAACACAUGCAUCAGCACUAAUACACCUGUACUGUCAGUAUGAGUAUUUUUAAAAUUCAAAAUCUGAAACACUUCUGGUCUCAAGCAUUUUAGGUAAUGGAUACUCAAGUUGAUGACACCUUCUCCUUGUAUUCUUACAAGGGGUCUCUCCUGGAUCUGUUUUAUAAGGCCACUAAUUUUAUCUAUAAGGCCUCCACCCUCAUGUCCUAAUCACCUCCUAAAGGCCCUACUUCCUAAUACCAUCGUCUUGGGGUUUGGAAUUUUAACAUGUGAAUUGGAGUGGGACACAAACAUUCAGACCAUGGCAAGUUCAAAACUAGUUAUUGAAAAUAUGCAAAUGAUAAACAUGGCUCAGUCCAAUAAAGCUUUAAGUAUAGGCACUAAAAAUUUAAUUUCUUAAUAAAGCUUUUUAUAUGUCCC